GAUGAACGCUGGCGGCGUGCCUAAUACAUGCCAGUCGAGCGAACGGACGAGAAGCUUGCUUUUCUGAUGUUAGCGGCGGACGGGUGAGUAACACGUGGAUGACCUACCUAUAAGACUGGGAUAACUUCGGGAAACCGGAGCUAAUACCGGAUAAUAUUUUGAACCGCAUGGUUCAAAAGUGAAAGACGGUCUUGCUGUCACUUAUAGAUGGAUCCGCGCUGCAUUAGCUAGUUGGUAAGGUAACGGCUUACCAAGGCAACGAUGCAUAGCCGACCUGAGAGGGUGAUCGGCCACACUGGAACUGAGACACGGUCCAGACUCCUACGGGAGGCAGCAGUAGGGAAUCUUCCGCAAUGGGCGAAAGCCUGACGGAGCAACGCCGCGUGAGUGAUGAAGGUCUUCGGAUCGUAAAACUCUGUUAUUAGGGAAGAACAUAUGUGUAAGUAACUGUGCACAUCUUGACGGUACCUAAUCAGAAAGCCACGGCUAACUACGUG
rnacentral:rRNA from 1 species